rnacentral:rRNA from 1 species
GACGAACGCUGGCGGCGUGCUUAACACAUGCAAGUGGAGCGACGAAGGGGCUUCGGCCCCGGCAAAGCCGCGAACGGGUGAGUAACACGUGGGUAACCUACCCAGAUGACCGGGACAACCCGAGGAAACUCGGGCUAAUACCGGAUGUGCUCCAGCACCAUGAGGUGCUUGAGGAAAGGUAGCUUCGGCCUCCGCAUCUGGAUGGGCCCGCGGGCCAUUAGCUUGUUGGUGGGGUAACGGCCUACCAAGGCUUCGAUGGCUAGCUGGUCUGAGAGGACGAUCAGCCACACUGGGACUGAGACACGGCCCAGACUCCUACGGGAGGCAGCAGUGGGGAAUCUUGCGCAAUGCGCGAAAGCGUGACGCAGCAACGCCGCGUGUGGGAAGACGGCCUUCGGGUUGUAAACCACUUUCAGUUGGGACGAAGCUUCGCCGGUGAACAGCCGGCCGAAGUGACGGUACCUUCAGAAGAAGCCCCGGCUAACUACGUGCCAGCAGCCGCCGUAACAC